rnacentral:rRNA from 1 species
CGGUGCAUUAAUGCUGGUAUGAUCGCACCCGUCAGAAAGUGGAUUGGAUGAUUAGUAAUGCCGCAGUGCGAAUGCGCGGAACGGUUUCAAUAACGUUUAAAAACGCAAAUAAAAAUGAAAAACAAAGACAAAUAAUUUCGGGAAAAAAGGAACGGAAAGAAGACAACGUUGAGGAAUCGAAUAGGACGAUACGGUUCAAAUGGCGCUGACGGCUAGUUAUUUAGAUUUACGGAUUGAAAGAUAGAGCAUUUUUCGCGUAGAGUGAGCAAAUAGUAAAAACGCAAAUAAAAAUGAAAAACACGGACAAAUAAUUUCGAAACAAAAAGGAACGGAAAGGAGACAUCGUUGAGGAAUCGAAUAGAAAAUCGGAUCGAAGUGAAAAAAAAAAAAGAAAUCAAAAUUAAAAGGGGGCUGCGAACGAGAAGAAGCAAAAAGGAGUGCAACACGAGGACUUCCCAGGAGGUCACCCAUCCUAGUACUACUCUCGCCCAAGCACGCUUAACUGCGGAGUUCUGAUGG